rnacentral:rRNA from 1 species
UACGAAGGGGGCUAGCGUUGUUCGGAAUUACUGGGCGUAAAGCGCGCGCAGGCGGUCUUCCAAGUCAGUGGUGAAAGCCCGGAGCUCAACUCCGGAACUCGCAUUGAAACUGUGAGACUUGAGGACGAGAGAGGUGAGUGGAAUUCCCAGUGUAGAGGUGAAAUUCGUAGAUAUUGGGAAGAACACCGGUGGCGAAGGCGGCUCACUGGCUCGUAUCUGACGCUCAGGCGCGACAGCGUGGGGAUCAAACAGG